GAUGGCAAUAUCACGUUGAAACCAUGGUUCCCGUACUAUUUGCGAAAUUAAGCAACCUCGAGCCUGGUCAGUAUCUAGAUGGGUGACCGCUUGGGAAUACCAGGUUCUGUAAG